rnacentral:lncRNA from 1 species
AGGAACGCUACAUGUUCAUGACUUCGUUCUCCCUUAUGAAGAAAAGGAAGCAUCAUUUUAUGCAGCUACAGAAUCAGGUGUUGAUGAAGCUGUUACAAAGUGGGUUCCACAGCCAAGCAAGCAUAUAAUAGAAACUGACAUACCUCAGGCGGCUCUUAUGGUAAAUGAGCNUGCCCGUUUGGUAGCAGAUAUCAAAUUCAAGAAAGCAAAACCCGAGAAGAAGUGGCCAACAAUUAGUAGGAAAACUCAACUCGUAGUAGAUGCUGUGAAGGCUUCAAUUGAUAGGGGUUUUGAGCCAGUGGAGAUUCAGGAGUGAGGUGUAUGAACUGAGGUCUGUAUUCCUGCUGUGCAUCACAAAAUCAAUUUCUGUUUAUGUAUGUUGAAAAGUUCAUUGCUGACCUGUGCAUAAAAGAGGCAUAAAGGGUCUGUAGACUCUUAGACAGUUUUGCUGUUAUUCACGUCAUGUUUGUUAAUAAAGAUGUACUACAGAUUGGGAAGGAAGAGUGAUGAUUGUGUGCGUAGUAUUACAUUACACCAAGGACAACAUACAUUGAGUUAUAUAAAAUAAUCGAUUAUGGUAGAUUAUGAUAUAUUAUACAAUGGGAAAAUUCACCAAACUGAUGUAAUUUGUUUUCAAUUUUACCAAAAUGGACAACUUAAAAAGAAAAUAAAAAUCCAGAUGUCAUAUGACACAAUUUCAUUGUGAAGUAGUCAUGCUUUCUGGUAGGCAGGCCAACACGACUACAAUGUUACUGGAACUUGCAUGUUCUACACACGACUUUGAUUAGCCUAAUCCAUUUUUUGUUUUAUUUAUUUUAUUUGCAGUCACCAGUGUUUUAAGAUUAAGUCCAGCAUGGUGUACACGACUUUGGUGUUGUGCGUAUUAAGCUGAAGUUGUGUAGAAUGGCAUGACUAAGUGCAUUUGUUAUAAAUUGGAGUAUAAGAUUAGAGGGAGACCAUUCUUUCUUGUAGUUCGUGUUUCAUACUGAAAAGGAAAUCAUGUAGCUUAGAAACUGUUUGUGGGUUUCUUAUUCUUGAGGUGAUCGGCUUGCCAUUGCCAAGGAAACUGGCCGAAGGCUUGGGAUGGGAACAAACAGGUACCCAUCUUCUUCGUUGCUUAACAAGGAUGACUCUAAAUGACUCUCCUUUCCUGUUUAGACUUUGUAGUCCACAUUCAUGUUUUUUUUAGUUCUCUACCAAAUGCAAUCACACAUACGCUAUCUAGAACAUCAUUAUAGUGAAAAUACAAGAAAACAAUACAUACUGGAAGUGACUUAAUGCCAACUCAUCAACAACAGCCUGCAUAUAUAGGAAUCCAUAAUUAAUAAACCAAUGCAAUAUCGAACUUCAAAAUAUAACAUACACAAGCAGAUAGAUACAAGAUUGCAGGGUACCAUAUAGGCAACAUGUACUAUGCCUCACUCCCCAAAAACUGAGUUCAUAGAAAAAUAAAUAACUCCCUAUCAACUGGUAUUGAAGUUAUAAGGCAUAGGUAGCAACCACACCUGUUGAAUUCACAAACCUGUUAAUCAACCACAUAUAACACAAAAUCAGAUCAUCAUAUGUAAUAUUUUCAGGUAUUUAUGUUUAGGACAUUUAAUUCAAGAUAAGGUUUGAAGUAAAUAGGAAUGUAAAUGUAAGUGAAACGUUUAGUUAACGGUAGUUGGCCUAACUGAUAGGAUGUUCAGAGUAUAUGUUAGGAGGAAGAAAUGUAAGUGAAACGUUAGUUAACGGUAGUUGGCCUAACUGUUAAGACAGUUAGGAUGGGCGGGACUCAUAUCUGUAUAAAUAGCUGUUAGUAAUAGGGGAAGACACUUUUGGCCAUUUGUGUAUUCUGAACAGACUAUUUAGUCUUGUUAGGGGAGGUUAGGCUCCCAGGCUACCCUAUUCAUUGUAUUCUUUUCACUAAAUAAUACCAGUGGAGGUUAUACAGAGAGUUGGGCGUUGAUUCUUGUGUGUGUUAGAGUGACUUUCUUGAGGUUUCUUGAUUAGAAACCUAUCAAUUUGGUCCGACCUGUCGGAUCCAAAUCGGGAAGUGACUCGACGUGAUUGAGGCGAGAAUGGAGAACGCGAUUGAGACGAGGUUCGAGGCUAUUGAUAUUACGAUGGAAGGCAUGAAAGCGGAAUCGGCGGUUGUCAGGAGGGAUUUACAUAAGAUCAUGAAAGCAUUGGGAACGCAUGUCGAUCGAACGAAGGGAAAUUCUGAUGAUAGCUCGGUGAACGAUAACCGACACAGAGAUGGGGAAGAAAAUGGAGGUCGAGGCGGAGGCGGAAUGAGCGAUGAACAAAGACCUUGGAGAAAAAGGAUCGAAUUACCUACCUUCGAUGGAGAGGAGCCUCUUAGUUGGCUCAAUAGGGCGGAGAGAUUUUUUGAUAUUUAGAAGGUGACGAGCGACGAGGACAAAGUGGAAAUCGCGUAUGUUAGUAUGGAUGGAAGCGCGGCGUAUUGGUUUACAUUCUGGAAAGAGAAGGCUCAAAACAAAUCUUGGGAAGGGUUGAAGGCAGCCAUGUUGAAUCGUUUUGGCGGAGGCUGUAGAGGGACGGUUUUCGAACGAUUGGCUACGUUGAGACAGGAGGGAUCGGUGGAGGAAUUCGUCCACAAUUUUGAGGUUUUGACAGGGCAGAUUAGGGGUAUACCCGAGGAGCAAGUACUGGGCUAUUUCCUUGCCAAAUUGCGGGAAGAUGUGAAGGGCCAGGUGAGGAUCCAGAACCCACCAGAUUUAAUGGAGGCUAUGCGGAUUGCACGAGAUGUGGAAGACGCGAUAAUGAGAGCACAGGGGAGUUACUUGGGCGGGUUCAAAAUAAACCCAUUUGGUUCGCAAUCAAUGGGAAAUGUGACGCGAUGGGAUCCGACUAGAUCUACGACAAACCAGAAUGGAAGAACAGAGGGCAGAGGACCAGGGAGAAGAGACGGUGUUACACCGAACACGAUGGCGAGGGGAAGCAAUGUGAACGAGGGCGAUAAUCGAGGGAGAAUGGUGAGGAAUUUGCCAUACCCAGAGUUUCUCAAAAGGAAAGAAGAGGGGCGUUGCUACCGAUGUGGAGAUCCGUUUGCACCGGGACAUCGGUGCCCAGAGAAGAGUUUGAGAGUACUUCUGUUGGCAGAGGAUGAGGAGGAGGAUGCUGGUACAAAAACUGUCAACCUGGAGGAGAACCCGAGGUUUGUUUGGCGGAGGGGUUGACGUCCACGAAGACCUUGAAGUUGAAGGGCAGAAUUGAUGACAGAGAAGUCGUAGUGCUGAUAGAUAGCGGUGCUAGUCACAAUUACAUCAGUAAACGGCUGACGGAAGAGCUAAGGUUGCCGAUGACAAAUACACCGUCGUACACGGUGAGCUUAGGCAAUGGGUAUAAAAAAAUCACCCAGGGGCGUUGCGACAGGGUGACGGUGCAAUUGGAGGGGGUCGACGUGGAAGAGGAAUUUUACGUGUUUGAGUUAGGAGGAGUGGAUGUGAUUCUGGGCGUUGCAUGGCUGGAAAAGCUAGGGGAAGUAAGGACCAAUUGGGGAAAAGUGACCAUGGCUUAUAAUGUGGGGGAAAAAAUAAUCUGUAUAAAAGGCAACCCAACCUUGUCGAGACAGCUGGUGAACUCUAGGAGCUUGUUGAAGUUGGUGGAAGCUGAGUCAUGGGCUGCAGUUUGGAAUCUGUGCAUAAUGGAGGCAGGGGACAGCGGUGAGUGGGGUGCAGAUUUGACAGAGACACAAAGAGUUGAAUUAAAUAAAGGACUGCAGGAGCACUAUCCCUUAUUUUGGGGUGCAGAUUUGACAGAUGCACAUAGAAUUGAAUUAAAUAAAGGGUUGCAGGAGCACUAUCCCUUAUUUCAGGAUUUGCAUGGAUUGUCUCUGCCAGAUAAUAAAGGGCAUCGGAUACAACUCAAAGAAGGAGUUGAUCCUAUAAAUGGUGGCCCAUGUCAGUACCCGUAUCCUAUGAAGUGCGAAAUUGAGAGGCAGGUUGAGGGCAUGCUGAAGGCGGGGAUUAAUCGUCUAGAUGAAAGGCAACUGAGUCUAGCAGCAAAAGUGCCAGCUUGUGCAAGGAGAUUCAUCAAACGGCUCAUUGGUAAAAAUAAGACAGCUCCCCCUUCUGCCCCAGCAACACCACCACUGGGUGAGGAGCCAGUUUUCACUGACCGAAAUUAUUCUCCUUCUCAUUCUUUGUUUGAACCGCACUCUGCACCACCAUUUACAAGUGGCUCAUUAGAUAACAAUCUUGUUGCUAUUUUAGCUGGAGUUAUAGCUACUGUAAAACUUUGGGUGACAGGAUUAAGUGGACAGCUUCAGAAGGCAUUCAUAACAGUGUACAAGACAAUGAUCAAGGACCAAUUUCCGGAGCUCAACCUUGAGGACAAGGUUGAAAAUGGAGGGGAGGGUAAUGAUAGGAUGUUCAGAGUAUAUGUUAGGAGGAAGAAAUGUAAGUGAAACGUUAGUUAACGGUAGUUGGCCUAACUGUUAAGACAGUUAGGAUGGGNNNNNNNNNNNNNNNNNNNNNNNNNNNNNNNNNNNNNNNNNNNNNNNNNNNNNNNNNNNNNNNNNNNNNNNNNNNNNNNNNNNNNNNNNNNNNNNNNNNNNNNNNNNNNNNNNNNNNNNNNNNNNNNNNNNNNNNNNNNNNNNNNNNNNNNNNNNNNNNNNNNNNGGUUAGGCUCCCAGGCUACCCUAUUCAUUGUAUUCUUUUCACUAAAUAAUACCAGUGGAGGUUAUACAGAGAGUUGGGCGUUGAUUCUUGUGUGUUAGAGUGACUUUCUUGAGGUUUCUUGAUUAGAAACCUAUCACUAAGUGUCCCUUGAUUCUUUUUUAUUUUCACAUUCCCCUGAUGUGUGUCUUAUAGGAACUGAAAAUAUACUCAAUGAAAGAAAAAAAGCCUCCUUAUUGAUGUUACAUUGCAUGCAGUCUUCAUCAAUUAUAAAAUUUAAUAUAGGAAUCUUGACUGCUGGUUAUGCUGUAUACAGUUUUAACAGUUUUAAAAAGCAUAAUAAGGAUGGAAGUGUACAGCUUUAUCGCCAACAAGUAAAUCACAGUUGUCAUUGAAUUCCUUCACCUAUAGUCAUCUUAAAAGUGGCAAUUGACAUAUAAUAACAGGAAAGCCUUAGAAGAAGGAUCACAAAGAUGAGAAAAAAAAGAACAUGGGCAUAAGUCUUAAUAUGACAGAUAAAAAAUAAACUUACAGCACGAGAUGAUAUAGCCUGGGCAAUUUUAAUAUAUGCCUGCAAUAAAGUAGUAUAAAAUAGCAAUUAAGAAAUAAGACAUUUUCGCUUGUGGUCAUGCUGAUUUAACAAAAACCACUGCUAAACUAAAUUAUUAUGCAUCAAUAUAGUAUACAUCCAUUGUGUCAUUAGUAAUCUUCAAGAUUCACGUUUUAGUCUAUAUUCCUCCUGUACCAACCUAGAAUAGGGAAAAUAGUUCAUACCAAAGAGGAUGGAGUAGGAGAUGCAGGGAACUUAUGUCGAUUCCCGGGCAUUUAAAAAUAAAUAAAUAAAAUAUUAUUUCCAGUACAAAUCACAAGUAAAAAAAAUCUCAAGAAUCUUCACGAAGGCCUUAUUUGAAUGAAAAGCACUUACAAGAAAAGAAAAUAAAAAGGUACUACCAAAUAAACUUUUACCUUAAACUAAAAUAAACUUAUGCACUCAACAUUUGAAAAGCUCUACUAAAAUCACCCGGACUUCGCGGUGAACUCGUCGCCGCCGGAAACCGCAGCAGUGCGCUGGACGGCGCGACGAGGAGCGAAGUUGCUCCAACGAGGGCGAAAUUGGAAACGAAAGAUGGAUAGGGAGAGAGAGAAAGCACGGAAUGGAGUAGCAUUUUUUCACUCGCUUGGAUUGUUUGUUUGCAUUCACAGUUUUAGAUUUUGGAGGGGUUUCGUUGUUGUGGUUGGAUUUUGCACACACCAAAUUUGUUUUGCUGUUUGGUAGUGUAACUGUGUUGUGAUCAGCGGUUUUUGGAUUUUGAUGGGUGACUUAUGGUCUCUGUCUCUCUUGCAUUCCUGUGCCAUCGACCUUUUUAAAGUUGUUUAUCUAAACACACCGAAUUAUCACACAAAUAUUCUACCCGUUUCAAAUAGUUUAACACCUUUUAAAGAAUUUUACUUUUAUUUUUCCUAUUAAUAAUAUAAUAAUUUAUAAAAUUAAAUAUAUUUUUAAGUCGGGUAAUCCAAAACUAAAAUUAGUCUUUAUCAUAGAUAAUUUAAUUGAGCUAUAAAAAAUUCAUUUCGAAAAAUACCAAAAUAUAUUAAAAUUUAUAUUAGGAUAAAUUUUAUUUUAUGUUAAAAAUUUAAGAAAUAAAAAAAAAGAUAAUCCUAAUAUAUAUUAUAAUUUUAAAUUAAAAUUAAAAAAAUAUUGUUAAAAUGUUAUUCUUUAUAUUAUUAAAUGGAUGUAUUUUGUUAUAUAAGUGUAAAGAUAUUACUAUUCAAAAACAAAUAUGAAAUCAGAAAAAAUAAUAAUAUAUUUAUGUAAAAAGCUAAAAAAAAUAGAGCAUUAUAAUGAAUAAAUAUUUUUAAACAAUGAAAUUAAUUCUUUUAAAUUUAAAAUAAUUUAAUAAUAUAAAUAAAAUUUUAUAAACAUAUUUUAUUAUCUAAAACUCUUAUUGUUUCUCUAAAAAAUAAUUUAGAUUUCUUUUCUCUUUUUUCUAAUAUUAUUUUAUACUUUCUUAGUCAUCUUUUCUAGUUUUAUAGAUUCUGUAAUAUUUCUUUAAUAGCGUUCAUACGAUUUAUGCUAUAUGUUACAAUUUAGACUAUAAUACAUAAAAUAUAUUCAUAUAAGAAAUAAAAAAUAAUAUUUUAAUUAUAUUUUUAUAAUUUAAAAUUUAGGAUUAUAUAUCAACCGUUUAUAUUCUUAUAUACUUUCUUAGUGAUCUUUUCUAGUUUUAUAGAUUCUGUAAUAUUUCUUUAAUAGUGUUCAUACGAUUUAUGCUAUAUGUUACAAUUUACACUAUAAUACAUAAAAUAUAUUGAUAUAAGAAAUAAAAAAAUAUUUAAUUAUAUUUUUAUAAUUUAAAAUUUAGGAUUAUCGACCGUUUAUAUUUUUCAAUAGUUUCAGAGUACUAUCUCUGUAUCCCAAAGUGGUAGAUAAGCUAUAUUUAGGGAUGGCAAAACAAUCCCCACCCGCAGAUAUUCGCGGAUAAAAUCUGCGAUGGAUAGUUGAUACUCGCAGAUAUUUACUAUCCGAAACCCGCGGAUAGCGGAUAUUUUAAUACCCGCUUAUAAAUGGGUCGGGUGCGGGUAUUAUACUAUCCGUAUCCGCAGAUAUUCGUUACCCGCAAAAAAUAAAAAUAAAAAUUUAAUUUUUAUUUUAUUAAGUUAAAUAUAAUUAAAAUUAACAUUAAUUUAUAUUUAUAUUUUACAAGGUUAAAUUUAAUUAAUUAAAAUUGUACUAUAUGAAAUAUACCGAUCAAAAUUAAUUGUCAUUUAUUGACAAUUAACAGGUAUUAAUAGGUUAGAUUGCCUUACUCUUUACAAAAUAUAGGAUAUUGAUUAUUGAUUAUUGGGUUUGAUUGCCUAAAAAUAUACCGCACUAAUUAAUAAGUCAAAUUUUCUUACUCUUUUUACAAAAUAUACGAUAUUAAUUAUUUAUUAUACGAUAUUAAUUAUUUAUUAUUGUAUUUGAUUGCCUAUAAAUAUAAUGCACUAAUGGUUAAUCAAUGGGCUUGCCUAUUAUAGGCUCUAUAAAUAUAUAUAAGUGAUAUCUAAGUACAAUCUUCCUCUUCUAUCCUAAUAAAAUUUAGACCUUUUUAUAUCUUGAGUGUCGGAGUGUCUUCUACACGUCAACAACCCAACAACCCAUCGGAAUGGAUGACAUUCUCAAAAAGGAUUGAAGAUCAAAAGAGAACAAAGUAAAGGACGACUGACCAUCGAACCAAUUCAACCCAAACAAAAAUUAAAUUUUAAUUUAUAUUUAAUUUAAUUUAUAUUAUAUUUUAUAUAUUAUUUUUGUAAUUCUCUUUAAAUUUUAUUUUAAUAAUUUAUAAAAAUAUAUUUUUUUAAAUAUUUGCGGGUAUCCGCGGAUAUCUGCGGGUUUUAAAAUAUCCGCGGAUUUUUUUUUAGACGGAUACCCGGUUGGUAGCGGGUCGGGUUUCGGGUACAGUUUUAUCCAGCGGAUCGGGUUCGGAUAUCACACUAUCCGACCCGAACCCGACCCGUUGCCAUCCCUAGCUAUACUUGAUAGUGUUUUUAAUUUUACUUUUCUUUUGGUAGUCACGUUUUUCUAUUAAGACUUAAAUCAAAAUCUUAUUUGAGAAAAAAAAUAAAAGAAUUCAAAAUUAAGUAAAAUUAAAAUUAUGAUUAAAUAAAAAAAAAUUUUAUACUCACAAUAAAAAUAUUUGUUUAAAUUUUGUCUCCACAAAUUUAAAUAUUUUAAUUCAGUUUUUAUUAAAAAAUUUAAUUGAAUUUUUUUACUAUCAUUAGAGUAUUUUCACAUAAAAAACAUUAACCAAGUCUUAAAUUUAUAAAUUUAAGUAUAUUUAAUUAAAACAAUGUACAUAAAUUUAUUUUUAUUAAAAUUUAAUUAUAUUUAAUUAAAUUAAUGUACAUACAUUUACUUUUAUUAACCGUAAAAGGUCUCUAUAUUUUUUAAGUGUAUAUGACUGUUAAUUAGAGAAAGAAAACAAUUAUAAGGAAAAUCUUAAAAGAGAAAAUUAUUUUUUUUUCACCAGGUACUAAAGCAAUAAUAAUAAAAAGGUUUAAUUGUUUUUUUUGUCCUCAGUUUGGUUGAAGUGUGUCAAAUUCGUCUUCUUUUUAGAAAAAAUGUCAAUUUCGUCAACAUACAAAAAAAAUUUGUGUCAAUCAAAUCAACUCCGUUAAAUACAAACUAACAGUGUUAACUGCAUUAUUUUCGCUUAGGCUAAACUUUCUCUCCUGAGCUAAUUUGCAGAAAACUAAAACACAAGUUUUGCUGAUAUUUUCGCUUAGGCUAAACAAUUUUCGCUUGAACUAGAUAUUUUCGCUUAAGCUAAAAUAUUUUCGCUUGAGCUAAAAUGUCCUGAAACUAAAGUUGAGCCACUGAAACUCUUUCGCGUGAGCGAAACUUACUUCUUCUAGGGCUAAAACUUGGGGUGCUAACUGGACAUAAGUUUAGUGGCUUCACGGGAAUAAGUUUAGUGGGAGUAUUCCGAUGAACAUUGGGGAUUUGGUCUCGUUGAGGGAUUUCGAUCUUAAUGAGAAUGAGUUUGUUGGGUUGAUUCCGCGUGGUUUGAAUGCGAUGAAGUUGGAGCGGAUGGAUUUGAAUAAUAACCAGUUCAUGGGUCUAAUCCCUGAUUUUGCAGCGGAUAAAGUGAGUUUUGAAAGCAAUGAUUUUUGCUUGUCGAAGCCUAGGGCUAUAUGUGCAUUUGAGCUGAUGGCGUUGUUGGGUUUUCUUGGGGGGUUGGGUUACCCUCAGAUUUUGGUUGAUUCGUGGAGUGGCAAUAAUCCGUGUGAUGGAGGUAAUGAAUACACCACUCAAUUAUUAAAGACCAUGCAAUGGAGGUAACAUUGGAUUCAAUUGUUGGAUAAAGUACCACUAAGGUUAAAGUUAUUCAAAAUAAUCAUUUCCACCUUUCCAUCACCAUUGCACUUUAUCCUCAACCAUGGUUCAUCACACGAAUUAUUGUCACUCCACGAAUCAACCAAAAUUUGAGGGUAACCCAACCCCCCAAGAAAAUCCAAUAGCGCCAUCACCUCAAAUGCACACAUAGCCCCAAGCUUCGACAAACAAAUCAUUGCUUUCAAAACUCACUUUAUCCGCUGCAAAAUCAGGGAUCGGACCCAUGAAGUGAUUAUUAUUCAAAUCCUAUUGAGAUUGUUGACAACAAAAACUCUAUAUCAAACUGGUUUUUGAUGAUGACAACACAGUGCUUAAUAACAGUACAUAUGUUCCAGUAUUACAUGUUCUUAUUCAAUAUGACAUCACAGAACUUUGUCACAACAAAUAUAAGUUCAUUAGGUGUUUGUGAUCUUUUCUUUCAAAAAUGUGCAGUAAUCAAAAACAUUUUAUUUCACAUUUCAAUACAAGCAUGUUCCACAAAUAUAACACUUAAUCAAUCAUAGGAACAUACAUUGUAAAUCAACAAAACAUGUUUAGCAGAUAUAACAAACACUUCAGAACAAGAACAUGUAAUACUGGAACAUGUGUACUGUUAUUAAGCACUGUGUUGUCAUCAUCAAAAACUAGUUUGGUAUAGAGUUUGUGUUGUCAACAAUCUCCACGCAUAAGACUUGAAAGAAGAAUAAUUUUGUCGUGUUAAUGCAAAACUAAAUCUAAACUUGCAAAUGCAAAUUGAAUCAGUUGGCAAAUAAAAAAUAUAAAUGAAUGAAGUUGUUGGGGUUUACAAUUUCAUCCUUAUCCACCCUCUUAUAUCUACUAUUCUUAUUAAAUUCACUUUAUUAUAAUUGUCAUGCAACUUUCUAAAUUACUCAAAACCUUAUUGCUCGGCGAAAAAAGCCUAUUACCAAUUACUAGUUUACCAUUCCUAGUUUUCCUAGUAAUUACCAACGCAUUAAGUACAUAAGCUUAAAGCAAUUGACCGUCCUACUCCUAUUCGUAGGCAUUAUUUCAUAAUCAAGAGAAUUUUUAUCAGUUCUAGAUUUCCCCGUACGUUCCCGUAUCGACAAAAUCAAAUAUCAUGACACCGAAUGAGUUAAACGAUGUAAGCAUUAACAUCAGAAAAGAAAACCCAAACAAUAUAUAAUAAAAGCAUAUGAAUAUAAUAAGAAAUUUGGUACAAGAGAGUUUCAAGAGGACUACAUUGUUCCCCAACAACAAAGGGAUUAGUUCACCAUUGACAUGGUGAAACUAGAUGGAAUUAAUGAAAAAGAUGAAAGAGCAAACCCUAGAAUUGAUAAAUUGGAGCCUAAGCAUCCAAGAAACCGCCUCCAAGGAGUGUAGAAGGUGCUCUGAAGUCUUCCUCUGCCAAAAGAUUACCCUAAGGUUCGCACUGGAUUUAUUUAUAACACAGAAAACUAACAGAAUUUUGGCCCAGGCCCAUCUAUUAGGCGCUCAACGCUCAUUUGACAGCGGUACCCCCUAUAAUCGCAGGACACUCAGCGGUAGAACCUGGCGCUCAACGCUGGGUCUCAUAAUCGCAGGACGCUCAGCGCCAUCGCUCAGGUGAGAAACAAUGGCUUCCUCCUCCAAGCUGACGCUCAGCGUUGGAAUUGGCGUUGAGCGGUGGACCUUACUAUUCUUUUAUAUCUUUUCUCAUCCUUUCUUGAGUCUAAGUCCUCUCUUCUUCACUUCCAUCCUUCAAUUCUCAUCAAAUCCUGCCAAAACAAUGUAAAACCAAGAAUAAUAUCUGUAAAAACCUCUUUUGACUCUCUAGAAACCAAACUAAAAUGUUUUGCACGAUUCUAAGCUCAUUCUAAGCCAUAAAGGGUGUGUUUUGAUAUCAAAUUUAAGUAUAAAAAAAACGGUUUUUAGACCAUUAUCAGUUACAUUUUUCCCAAGAAGGGUAUAAGGGAUUGGUGGUUGCUGGGAUGGGAAUGACGCCAUUGAAAAAGCACAUCUUGUUUUUAGAAAUAAGGGCCAUUCAGAAGGAACGAGAUCAUUGUUAACACUCUGGCAAGUGUACCAGAUCGUAUCAAGUAAUAAUAAAAUGGUAAGUCCAAGUAUCGUUUUCCCAAGAGACUGCAGGCACUAAAAUGUUGUGCUUUUGCUUAACCAAUCAAGACUAUAAGAACAAUAUUUUGGGGUUUUUGAAUAUAAAGUACGGAAAAAUAAACAUGAAUGCAAUUUGAUCAAUUGAGGUUAAGCACAAAAGUGGAUGGAUGAUGUUGAUAAUAUGAGAUGGAUUUGUUGCUAAGGUUCAGAUUUCACCCAAUAACUCUCAUAUAUCUACUUUUCUUAUUUAAUUCGCUUUAUUAUCAAAUUGUCAUGCAAACUUUCUUAGUCUACCCUAAACCCAAUCUCUUGGUGAAAAGAGCCUAUUACUAAUUACUGGCUUGUUAUCUCUAGCCUCCCCUAGUAACUAGCAAUGAAUGAUAAACGGAAGCAAAAUACAAUUGAUCGUCCUACCCCUAUCUCUACGCGGUAUUAUCAUAAUCAAGGAAUUUCCCCCAGUUCAUGACAUUACUAUACGUCUCCGUAUCAAUAAAGACAAACAACAUUUACAAUAAGCAAAGGUAAGGAACCCAACAAUUGAUAAUAUAAGCAUAUGCAAGCACAGGAAUAAAAUAAGAAUUUCAAUAUAAGAGAGUUUAGAGGUUACAUAUUUCCCAGCAACAAAUAAGGUUAGUUCUCCAUCGUCAUGGAGAAACUAGGUGAAUAAUGGAAUGGAAUAGAUAGAAACCCUAAAAAGGAGAAAAUGAGAGUUGUCACCAUCUCCAAAUCUACCCCAAAGGGGUGAAAAGUGUGUUUCUGUACUUAAGCCAUCAAAAGAUACAUUCUCUAGAGUGUCUAGGCCUUUAAAUAGGGCAUAAAAAUAACAGAAAACAAGUCCAAGCCCAAACAAAUCAUAAAAAUAACAAAAAACAGGUUCAAGUCUGCGUCCCAACCGCUCAGCGCUAAAAAACGACGCUCAACGGUUUGCCCCAAAACCGCUCAGUGCCCAAAACCGCCGCUCAGCGCUCUAGUCAACAUUAUGGUCAACUAAUUGACUUUUCUGGUUGACUGGUUGACUUUUUUGCAUUAUAUUUGACUUUUCUGCACUGCAACUCUUGGUACUUCAACCAUUCUUUCAAUUCAUUCCAAAAACCUACAAAAUCAAGGAAAUCUAAUGAUAAAAUCAUAAAACAUGUCCUCAACUCUUUUAUUCACAAAACUAAAUAAAAAUCACGAGUCAAAGCAAGUUUCUAAGUCAACAAGGGUGCAUUUGAUAUCAAAAUUAAGUAUAAAAAUAACGAUUUUUCAACCGUUAUCAACCAUCACUAGAAGUUGUUGGCAGAAAGAGGUGGAGAAACCACAACAGAUGAAGGGCUCUCACUUGGGUUUAUGUAGAAGGGGCUUGAAGGAUUUUGGUUAGGAUCAACAAAGGGAGGAGGAAGUGGAAUGUCUUCCUCCUCAUUUCUAGAGGAGCCUUAAUCGGCCAUGAAAGAGGUAAGCUAGAAAAAAGCUUGAACCUUUAGAGGGCUCUGAUACCAUAACAGAAAAUAGAAGAAAAGGUAAUUUGCAUAAAUUAUGGUCUAUUGAUUGUCAAUGGUUACAUGAUAUAUAUAGUCUGUACAAAAAGAAUAGGUGUGACCUAAAACCUUGGAGGAUAAAGGCAUAUUAUGUACUCUGUUGACAACUCAUUGUUGUUCUAGAAUGUCCACUAAAAUAGAAAAGAUUCACUAUUGUGCUACCAUUUUGUUAUGUCAAUUACAUGGUAUUUAAACUAGAAUUAUAAGGUUCUUCUAUUAAGACGCAAAUUGGGUGACCAACAAUCAUAUAAUACUUGGUCCUUAAUAUAAGGCCUAAAAGAAAAUCCUACACUACUUGACCUUUAAUAUAAGGCCUAAAUAUUCCUAAUCUACUAAAGGUGCUCCAUGGUGACCUAAGAGAAAGAGCUUUGCUUCACCUUGCAUAGAUGAUUAUAACUCUUCUUAAAUGUGCGUGGGCCAUGGCUAGAAGAUAUGUCAUUAGUAAAAAUAAAGAACCCUUACCAAAUAUUAAUUAAAACUAAAUAAGAUAAGAGUGUGUAUGGAAAAUGAAAAUGCUAAGAAAAACGUGCUACCAUUGAAGAACAACAACAUUCACUCUAUUAAAAAGAAAAUAACAAAAUUUUAGAAAUUGAAAAACAAAAUGUUAAUGAGGUGAAAGAAAUAAAUCACAAACUAUAGAUAUAGAAGAAAAAUGUAACGAAUAAAUGAAACUAGUAAAGAAAAAGCACAUAAUCACGAAAUGACAAGAGAUGUAAAUUUUCAACUUCUUUUAAAAGUUAUUCUCUGGAAAUAACAUGACAUAUUUGACAACUUUGAAAUUAAUUAAAGUCAUAAACACAAACAAUUAGAGAAACACAAAUAAUUAAUAAACAUACAUAACCACACAAACUGAAAUACCAACAUAAAUACAAACUCAUACAAAUACAUAAACACAUAUCAAUCAAGGUCUAGCCAAAGUCAUUGCUUCAGGAUUUCAAGGAAAAAAUAAAUCAUUUUUUAAGUAUUAAUUACUUUAAAUCUCUAAGAAAAAAAAUCUCAACUUUUUUUAAUAUUAAUUAUUUUAGACAAAGAAAAAAUUAUUCUUAAAUUUGUUUUAAAUCUUUUAAACCUUGAGUCGUUUUUUAUAAACAUACUGUUUCGGUAGGGAUUUGUAGGACCGAGAAACUAACCUUUCUAAUGUAUCUUCCUUGCCUCUGAACGCUCGGAUAACCUAAACCGCUCGCCUUUCUUUCCCUCUGGGCCGCUCACUCUCCUUCAGUCUGGGUCGCUCGGUUGCCUUUGGUGCUAACCAUUCAGUUGCCUUCAGCAUUGACCGCUCGGUUACCUUCUUGACAGAAGGGGGAGGUACCUACAAAAGGCACUCUAACGUUCAAGUUAGGCGUGUGAUUGAAGAACUUUGGCUCUUGAUUGAAUAUUUAGUGAAUGGUUAUCACUAUUUGAGUAUUUGGGAAUAUAACUUGAAUGAGAGUCGAACGUGAAUGGAACGUACCUGGCUGAUGGCCCUAACUUUAUAUUUAUAAGUUGUCUUACAGACCUUAAACUGACACAGGCCACAUAAAAUAUAAACAAACUUACCUUUAGAUUCGGUAACAGCUUAUCAAUAUCUUUAAUCAGAUAUCUUUGAUUAUUUUAUCCUUUGUUGGACUAUUAGCCCAAUAAUACUUUAAAUGCUGGUCAUAUUAUGGCCCAAUAUCAAUAUAAACCCUUUGACCUGGUUGAUCACUACUGCUAGUGCUGCUACAGUGGACAGAUCGAACGGUCCUAAACAAUUGUUCGGUCUCUAUCACAUACCAUACAUAUGCCCCCCAAGUCCGAGUUAACAGUUCGGCUUUAGCCGAGGUUAACUAUAGGAUUUAUGAGUUUGAGGGAGGUUGUUCUCGUUGUAUGGAGGAGCAUGCUUUCGAUGCGCUUUAAGUCGUUGUAUCUUAUUUGGGCCGAAUGGUUUCAUGUGUAGAAUCUUUUCAUCUGUACUAUGAGGCCGACUGGCUGAAUAACUGUGAGGCCAAAUAGUUGAGCACUCGUGGGGUCGAAUACCUGAGACUUAGUCCUUGUCACCAGAGCUUCCUGGUUAACGAGAGGGAAAAUCGUUCGAUUGGGAGGGAUUUUCCUCUCGGUCUUUGACAUCAACUUUCUAGUUGAGAAAGGGAUUUACCUCUCGACCGAAAGGGAUUUACCUCUCGGUCUUCGACAUCAGCUUUCUGGCUGACGAGAGGGAUUUACCUCUAGGUCUUUAGCAUGAAUCGAGAGGGGUUUACCUCUCGGUCUUCUACAUGAAUCGAGAGGGAUUUAUUUCACCGUCUUCAGCAUAAAUCGAGAGGGAUUUACCACUUUCGUUGCUGAGAGGGAUUUACCUCUCGACCGAGAGGGAUUUACCUCUUGAUCUUUAUACUCUUCUUGGUAGAGUGGUUUACAGGAUCUUGUCACUUGCACUUGAAGAAAAAUAGUAGUUCGAAUUGGAAUGGUUAGAAAAAGUGUACAAAAUUGUUGACAAAUUGGCAAGUGUACCAAAUCGUACAAGUAAUAUAAAUGGUUAGACCAAGUAUCAUUUUCCCAAGAGACUCGAAUGGCUUUCUCGUUCACGUUAAUUAAAAUAAUAAGACUUGAAAAUAAAAAUUAAUAAAUUGGAUUUGAGAACAAAAAUAUUAACAUGCAAAAUAAAGGUGAUUCAAUUGACAAACNNNNNNNNNNNNNNNNNNNNNNNNNNNNNNNNNNNNNNNNNNNNNNNNNNNNNNNNNNNNNNNNNNNNNNNNNNNNNNNNNNNNNNNNNNNNNNNNNNNNNNNNNNNNNNNNNNNNNNNNNNNNNNNNNNNNNNNNNNNNNNNNNNNNNNNNNNNNNNNNNNNNNNNNNNNNNNNNNNNNGAUCCCUGGGCGAAAAGGGCCUAAUAUUAACUACUGGCUUGCUAUCCCUAGUCUCCCCUAGCAAUUAAUACCGCAUUAUAAACAGAAGUUAGCGCAAUUGACCGUCCUACCCCUAUCCCUAGGUGGUAUUGCAAAAUCAAGAAAUUACUCACCAGUUCAUGUCAUUACUAUACGUCCCCAUAUAAAUAAAGACAAACAUCAGUUACCGAAUGAGUUAAACGAUAAAGGCCUUAAGCACAGAUGAUAACAAAAUAAUUAUCAAUCAAAACAUAUGGAGACCAUAUAAGUAAUCAAGAGUUUCAAUAAAAGAGAGUAUCAAAAGAUUACAUUGUUUCCCAGGGUUUAGUUCACCAUAGACAUGGUGAAACUAGAUGAAAAAUGGAAGAAGAAUGGAAAAGCAAACCCUAGAAAAGAUGAAAUGGAGCCUAAGCAUCCAAGAGAUCCUCUCCAAAGAGCAAAGUUAGGUCUAGCCGUUCUCCCCUUUGAAAAGAAUGACUCUAGACUCGUAGUAGGGGUAUUUAUAGGUGAGGAGUGCGUCAGAAAACCAGCCCAAGCCCAGCGAGCCACCGCCCGACGGUUUAAGUGUGCCGCCCGACGGUUUGCCAUAAUCCUCCAAACCGCCCGACGGCAAUCACCACCACCCGGCGGUUUCCCUCAGCACCGCCCAGCGUCAAUCGCCAUGCCUACUCCUCGUCCUGGACCGCCCGGCGGUUUAAGUGUGCCGCCGGGCGGUACGUCGACUCUUCAAAUCUUCAUUUUUCUGCUCUUUUCUUGAGUCAACGACCUGUAUCUUUAACUCCAUUUUUCACUUUCUCAAAAUUAGCUACAAAACAAUGCAAAACAAGCAUAAAAUCGCAAAAAACAACUUUUGUCUCUCUACAGACUCAUUUAUUGAGUUUUGCUUGAUUCUAUGCUCAUUCCAAGUAGUAAAGGGCGUAAUUUGAUCCAAAUUGACAUAUAAAAAUAACUGUUUUCCAACCUUCAUCAACAGCCCCAAACUUAGAACUUUGCUUGUCCUUAAGCAAAACAAAACAAAACACACAAAACAAAACUUAGCUUUAUACUUUUUUCAUCCAAUGCCUCAACAAUCUCAAGGUACAUGACAAAACUACUCAAUUCAAUAUCCUCAGUGAAAUCCAAAAUAAGAUGCAUGCAUGCUUUCAAUCUAGAGAUUGCACAACAGAUGUUAUACAUUAUGAAUGGCCAAUUCACUAAGCAAAAAUGCACUCAUGAAUAGUAACAGUUCAUACCAAGCAAGUGUUUCACUCAAUCACUCAAGUGUUUAAGGUGACACUCCAACUCUCUAUUGUUCACAAGUCGCAUGAAAAAAAAUUGUCAUUCAUCUCAAACAAUCAACAUCUUUACAUGCAAAUGCCAUCAAAAGGACUUUUUCAAGGCUUGUAAUAAGGUUGGGCUAACAAGAAAAAUUGGUUUUUCUAGAAUGCAAAAUCCUUGAGUCAAGAGAACUAUCAAAAUAUUCAACAAUUGAGCACAACUCUCUNACCAAAAUUUCUCAUUCCCAACUUCUUCCCUUUUCUUUUCUUUGUCAUUGAGCUCAUCUUCAUGCUUUUCUUCUUUUCUUUUCUUUUUCUCAUGAGGUUUUCUCUUUUCACAACAAUAGCUCAAUGCCUUUUACUUGCUUUUUCAAUUUUCCCCCGUACAACCCCAAACUUGAACCUUUUCAUCACAUACAAUUAAGCUCAUCCCAACUCAAGGUAAAGAACUUCAAAACAAGGGUUCCCAUACUGUUUAAGGCUAAGGUUCAAAAAGGGUAUAAUAUAUCAAGCAUUUUGGGUGAAAAUUUGGCUAGAGAAGGGUUUUCAAAAAUGGCCUUGAUCAUAUGACAUUCACAUGCAAUUCAAUCGAUCAUCAAGAUUAAGGCAAUAUCAUCCAUAUUUUCCUGUGAACAAUGCAUGCAACAACAAUAAAAAAAACUCUGGAGCUCAAAAUCUCACACACAUGCUUUCUCACACAAAAUUCAUUCAUGCACCCUGCCUAGCAUCAUGACCACAAUCAUAAAUUCAUCACACAUCUAUUUCUUAGAUAUCAACAUGCAUUACUACUCAAUUCUCAUCCACAUCAAAUAAUCAUCAAAUAGAUCCAUCAUGCACACCAGUUAGUCAAACAUUUUCAGAGCAAGUGUUAAAGCCAAGAGUACACACCAAAAUUAAAAUUCAACCUAUUCUAAGAAUUUAAAAUGCAAAGAGUAAAAGAAAUUCUAGGUUGCCUCCUAGUAGCGCUUGUUUAACGUCACGAGCCUGACCCAAACCUGGUUGGCACUUGUCAGUAAGUGCACUUCCUUCCACCACCCAUCAGUAGGUGUACGGUCCGGAUAUCCUUCAGUGGAUACCAAAAAUUUAGCAUCCCUCAGUAGAUGCUACCCAAAAAUUGCUCAAAAAAUUCAAAAAGUACAUGUUCCAACCAAAAUAAAACAAAAGACCAAAAAAGAAAAUUGUUCUUAAAAAUACAAAAAUUGAUUUCCAAAAAGUUCAACUCUUCUUCUUCACGUUGGGAUCUUCAUCGUCCCACCGGCUCACUUUUCUUCGGUCCACCUUCUUGAUCACUGUUGAAUAUGGUCUUUGAAUUUCCACCAUUCCUUUUUCCUUCAGCUCAUUUACUAUCCAUUCCUUUUUCUUAAAUCUCACUUUGCUCCCCGGUAGGAGUGGAUCUUCUUUUGGUUUUGGGUGAAUGGUUCUUCUCCCUUUAUCCUCAGGCACCUGCAAAACACAANAGNUGUCANAAUAAUCAUUACCUGCUAUGCUCUUUUCUUGUUCUUCAUUCAUCUCUGGCUUCUCGAAUGUUUUUCUUUUUACUGUUUUGAUCUCAUCCCCUUCACGGCCAGUAUAGAGAAAUAGAUAAUUCAAAUCUCUCAUCAUAAUUCUUCCAUCAUGAACAUCAAUAAACAUCUUUGAUGUGGCCAUGAAGGGUCGCCCUAAAAUCACAGGAUGCUCCUCCUCUGUUUUAACAUCCAUGACAAUGAAAUCUGCUAAAAACUCAAGGCAAUCUGCUCGCACAACAACAUUUUCCACCAUUCCCACUAGCGCUUUUUAAGAACCGUCUACCAUUGUUAUAGUCAAGUCAGAGGGUUUCAACACAAGUCCACCGAUUUCCUUCAAAAGUUCCAUGGGUAUUAAAUUGAUGUUAGAUAUAGAAUCUAUCAUAGCUUCCACAUCCAAAUCAUUCAGAGAACAAAAUAGUGUCAGGCACCCCGGAUCUUUAGCCUUAGGAGGAUAAUUGCUCUUUUGUGGUUGAACAACAAGAUCCUCUUCUUCAUUAGUCAGCUCAAUUUCAUCAUCCCUGUUAAUUUCGAUUCUUUCUGAAUAGGGAGGACUCUGCUUAUUUUCUCUAGGUAACACAGUCAUCCGAUUGAAACUCUCUCUCUCGCCCCCAUUAUGAUUAGUUCUGGUUCCCAUUUCCUCUUUUUCUUCAUCAACCUCUUCUUCCUUAUAAUUCUCAUNUUCUUCUUCUUCACUGCUCAUGGGUUCAAAGAAUUCANCCAUUAACNUCUCCUCNUCUUCACUGUUCACAACAUGGAAUGGUUCAAUAUCUUCCUUCCAACCAUCCUAGCUGUCUGCGUCCCAACCACUCUGGCUUGUAAUAAUCUUGCAUUCCCUCUUAGGGUUAGCCUCAGUGCUAGCCCUAAACUGGUUUUUCUCUGUAAUUUUUAUCCUUGUUGUCAGCUGCCCAAUCUGUGACUCCAGUGAUUUAAAGUUGGCUUGAUUGUUAUUCACCUGCUGCUCGUAUCUUUUGUAGAAGUCAUUAAAUCGACUACUCAAGGUCCUGACAGACUUAGUCAAAUUACUCACUUACUGCCACAGAGGUAAUGGUUGUUGCUGCCGGAAGUUUCCUCCUUGUCUCGAAGAAACAUUCUGGCUUUGCCCAAUACUCGGAUGAUUUUUCCAACCUUGGUUAGAGUUACCUUGGUUGAAAUUUCCCCGUUUGUACUAAAAUUGGGCCCCCAUAUAAUUCACGUCCUGCUGCAUCUCCUCUGUAAAAGCACAUUGACCAUUAAUAUGGUCACCAUCGCAUAAAUCGCAAAGUUGUUGUGCCUGGGAAAUAUUUCUGAGCCCCCGAGGAAGUUCAGAGAUGACCUUUAGCAACUUGUCCAAUUUCUGGCUGAGGAUGUGAUUUUGUGCUGCAACAGCGUCUUCAGUAGGAAGAUGUAAAAGUCCUCCUUUUUUCGUGCCCCUCUCACUCUACGACACUUCAUUUAGAGCCAUCUCUUCAAUCAAGUUGUACGCCUCAUCUUCUGUUUUUCUAUUAAUACUGCCUCCAACUGAGGCAUCUAUCAUCAUUUUAGACUGAGUGCGCAAACCUUCAAUGAAUGCAAGCAAGUAUGAAGCUUUAUCGAACCCAUGAACUGGGGUCGCCCUCAAUAAUCCUUUGAAUCUAUCCCAUGCUUGCCCAAGUGUUUCCUCCAUCCCUUGUUUGAAUGAAGAGAUCUCUAACUUCCCUUGAUUGAUCUUCGGAGGUGGGAAGAAUUUAGUAAUAAACUGUUGGACCACUGCUUCCCAAGUCCAGAAUGUUCCCUCCAGGAAAGAAUUCAACCAGUCUUUUGCGUUUCCUCCAAGAGAGAAAGGAAAUAAACUAAGUCUGACUCUAUCGUCCGUCACUCCAGUUAUCUUUACUAUGUUGCAAAUUUCACCAAAGACUGUCAAAUUAUUGUAAGGAUUUUCAUUUGACAACCCAUGGAAUUGGUUGUUCUGGACUAACUGGAUGAGCGCCGGACUCAUCACCAUGCUGGUUGUAUUGUCUGUUGGCAUUGCAAUGCUGUUAAAGUUCAAGGGACCAACUGUAUUAGCUGCGUCCCCCAAAGUGCGUCUAGGAGGAGGUUGAUUGGCCAUCAAUGCGAAGCAACUUCUGGAGAAAGAGAUCUCUCACGUAAAGGACGUCUCUUUCUCCUCUCGAAUGGUAGACCUUCUAGCAGAGAUUGUUGGUUUUUCCUGCUUCUAGUAUAUAUUGUUUCCUGCACACAUAAGAAACACACCCUAAAAGCACUUUUACAGAAAAAUAAAACAAAACACAACAAAAGAAAAAUAAAACAAAAAUAAUUACAACCAAUUCAAAUUCAAUCAAUUCACACUACUAGAAAAAUAAACCUCGAGUCUCUGGCAACGGCGCCAAAAACUUGUUGACAAAUUGGCAAGUGUACCAAAUCGUACAAGUAAUAUAAAUGGUAAGACCAAGUAUCGUUUUCCCAAGAGACUCGAAAGGCUUUCUUGUUAACGUGAAUUAAAAUAAUAAGACUUGAAAAUAAAAAUUAAUAAAUUGGAUUUGAGAACAAAAAUAUUAACAUGCAAAAUAAAGGUGAUUCAAUUGACAAACNNNNNNNNNNNNNNNNNNNNNNNNNNNNNNNNNNNNNNNNNNNNNNNNNNNNNNNNNNNNNNNNNNNNNNNNNNNNNNNNNNNNNNNNNNNNNNNNNNNNNNNNNNNNNNNNNNNNNNNNNNNNNNNNNNNNNNNNNNNNNNNNNNNNNNNNNNNNNNNNNNNNNNNNNNNNNNNNNNNNNNNNNNNNNNNNNNNNNNNNNNNNNNNNNNNNNNNNNNNNNNNNNNNNNNNNNNNNNNNNNNNNNNNNNNNNNNNNNNNNNNNNNNNNNNNNNNNNNNNNNNNNNNNNNNNNNNNNNNNNNNNNNNNNNNNNNNNNNNNNNNNNNNNNNNNNNNNNNNNNNNNNNNNNNNNNNNNNNNNNNNNNNNNNNNNNNNNNNNNNNNNNNNNNNNNNNNNNNNNNNNNNNNNNNNNNNNNNNNNNNNNNNNNNNNNNNNNNNNNNNNNNNNNNNNNNNNNNNNNNNNNNNNNNNNNNNNNNNNNNNNNNNNNNNNNNNNNNNNNNNNNNNNNNNNNNNNNNNNNNNNNNNNNNNNNNNNNNNNNNNNNNNNNNNNNNNNNNNNNNNNNNNNNNNNNNNNNNNNNNNNNNNNNNNNNNNNNNNNNNNNNNNNNNNNNNNNNNNNNNNNNNNNNNNNNNNNNNNNNNNNNNNNNNNNNNNNNNNNNNNNNNNNNNNNAAAGAAUGACUCUAGACUCGCAGUAGGGGUAUUUAUAGGUGAGGAGCGCGUCAGAAAACCAGCCCAAGCCCAGCGAGCCACCGCCCGACGGUUUAAGUGUGCCGCCCGACGGUUUGCCAUAAUCCUCCAAACCGCCCGGCGACAAUCGCCACCGCCCGGCGGUUUCCCUCAGCACCGCCCAGCGUCAAUCGCCAUGCCUACUCCUCGUCCUAGACCGCCCGGUGGUUUAAGUGUGUCGUCGGGCGGUACGUCUACUCUUCAAAUCUUCAUUUUUCUGCUCUUUUCUUGAGUCAACGACCUGUAUCUUUAACUCCAUUUUUUACUUUCUCCAAAUUAGCUACAAAACAAUGCAAAACAAGCAUAAAAUCGCUAAAAACAACUUUUGUCUCUCUACAAACUCAUUUAUUGAGUUUUGCUUGAUUCUAUGCUCAUUUCAAGUAGUAAAGGGCGUAAUUUGGUCCAAAUUGACAUAUGAAAAUAACUGUUUUUCAACCUUCAUCAAAAAUCAAAAGUAGAGAUACUUAAUUUCAAAGUAGCAUAUGCAAUAAGGUUGAACGGUCAAGCCAAUAAGAGCGCUCGGUCAUCUGUUUGAAUGUUUGGAGACCAAAACUGAAAUUCACAUUAGGAUGUGCCCUGGAUGAGUUUGUAGGUGCUUUACCGUCCUCCAAUCAAGUAAUUUUGAUAUUAAUUUGAUUGGUUAUAAGGCUAAAUGGCCAAGUAAGUAAGACCGAUCGAUCCCAAAUGAAGCAAUAGAGAAGUGCAUAAAGCCUUUCAUGCCAAAUGGUCUAAUGGUUUGAGUACUGGAUGCCAGCUUAGUACAUGCGCCAUGAAAGGCCGAGCGGUUGAGGCCGAAGGGCUGAAUACUUGUGAGGCCGAAUGACCGAGCACGUGUGAGGCCGAAUGACCGAGCACGUGUGAGGCCGAAUGACCAAAUACUCUUGAGGUCGAAAGGCCGAGCACCUGUGAGGUCGAAAGGUCGAGCACCUGUGAGGCCGAAUGGCCGAAUACUUGUGAGGCUGAAUGGCCGAGCACCUGUGAAGCCGAAUGGCUAAAUGCCUGUGAGGCCGAAUGACUGAAUACUUGUGAGGCUGAAUAUGCCUGUGAGGCCGAAUGGAUGAACAAAGUCGUCGAAGUGUUUUGACACUGUUGGUUAGUCUUUUACUAGGUGGUUCAUCAGUCACAAGGGAUGCUUUUAUAUGUUGUAAAUUCGUAGAAGCUUGCUGACGUUGAUGAUUUCUUCCAUCGAGAUCAAUAUUUUGGGUUGUGGUUGACAUGAUGAUGCUGAGACUGCGUCCUUGUUUGGUUCUUUGCGGUUUUAGUAGGAUGGCCCCUGGCCCCACGGUGGGCGCCAAAAUGUUUUGGUAGGAAUUUGUAGGACUGAGAGACUAACCUUUCUAACGUAUCCUCCUUGCCUCCUAACGCCUAGAUCGUCUAAACCUCUCACCUUUCUUUCACUCUGGGUCGCUCACUCUCCUUUAGUCUGGGCUGCUCGGUUGCCUUUGGUGUUAACCGUUCGGUUGCCUUCAACUUUGACUGCUCGGUUACCUUCUUGACAAAGGGGGAGGUACCUGCAAAAGGCACUCUAACGCUUAAGUUAGGCAUAUGAUUGAAGAACUUUGGCACUUGAUUGAAUAUUUAGUGAAUGAUUAUCAUUAUUUGAGUAUUUGGGAAUAUAAGUUGAAUGAGAGUCGAACGUAAAUGGAACGUACCUGACUGAUGGCCCUGACCUUGUAUUUAUAAGUUGUCUCAUGGACCCUAAACUGACACAGGCCUAAUAAAAUAUAAACAAACUUACCUUUAGAUUCGGUAAUAAGAUAUUUUUGAUUAUUUUAUCCUUUGUUGGACUACUAGCACAAUAAUACUUUAAACGAUGACCCAAUUAUGAUCCAAUAUCAAUAAAAUUCCUUUGACCUGGUUAAUCAGUGCUAUUCCUUUGACCUGGUAAAUCAGUGCUGUUGACACUGGUGCUUUGGACACACCGAACAGUCCUAAACAUUAAUUGUUUGGUCUCUGUUACAUACCAUACACAUACAUAAAUAUAGGUAAUACACAUACAAAUAUAAACCACAAAUAAACAUAUAAACAUAAGUAAUUGUUCUGUUUUCGUAGUUUGUGGGAGGUGUUUCGUUUCCGAAGAAAAAAGAAAGAAAGAUGGAAAUAAAGAAAAAAUAAGUUAAGAAAUGUGUAAGAAUUGAGAAUGUUUGGUGUGGUUUGUCGGGGUCAAGCGACGUGUGGUUAUGAUAUGUUAGGUUAAAAAUAGACAUGUUUUUCUCAAGUUUCAAGCACGUUUAUCAUUGGUUAUGAUAUGUGAGGUUAAAAAGAGUAAUUUGACAUUAUCAUUUAUAACUUAGUUCCAUUAUACAACUACUUUUUUUUUAAUAAAACAUUAUAUCAUAAGAAAAUAUUAUCUUAUAAUAAAAUAAUAAUUUAUAAUGUUGUAGAUGAUUAUGGAAAGGAGGAUAAGAGUCAACCCAUCACUGCUCCUGCUAUAGGUGAAUUGCAUGAAAUCUGGAACUGCAAGGUCUCAUAGUAAUGCUGUAAUUUCUUGAAAAGCCCUUUCGUCUUCACACUUCAACUUUCCAAAUGGCGCAAACACCCAAAAUUCGUUUCGGCUUCAUCGGCUGCGCCGCAAUUGGGCGCAGGGUUUCCCGCGCCGUCGCGCUCGCGCCCAACGCCGUCCUGCACGCCGUCGGAAGCCGCUCCAUCGACAAGGCCCGCGCCUUCGCCGCCGCCAACGGCUUCCCCGCCGCCGCCAAGGUGUACGGCUCCUAUGAGGCCGUCCUCGACGAUCCCGAGGUCGACGCCGUCUACCUGCCGCUUCCCACCAGCCUGCACGUUCGCUGGGCCGUGCUCGCCGCCAGCAAGAAGAAGCACGUGCUGCUUGAGAAGCCAGUUGCUCUUAAUGUUGCUGAGUUUGACGAGAUCAUCGCGGCGUGCGAAUCCAAUGGAGUGCAGCUCAUGGACGGUACCAUGUGGAUGCACCAUCCCCGCACCUUGAAGAUGAAGGAGUUUCUCUCCGACGUAAACCGUUUUGGUCAGCUCAGAUCGGUAUGAACUUGUUUCAAAUGCAAUAUUGCUUUUUGUUGGCAUCAUUUUUCAGCUUUUCUUAUUAAACACAAAUAACACAACAAGUUUUAUUUUAAAGUAUGAAAUAUUUUGGGGUUGAUGAACUUUAUCAAUUUAAACACUAAUUAAACAUUCAUUCCGCUCCAAUUACAUGAUACUUUUAUUUAAAAUAUGAAAUAAUUUAGGGUGAAUAAACUAUUAUUAUUAUUAUUUUAUUAAGGGUAAGAUUUGGUUGCAUAUUUGAAACCUUCUUUAUUUUACCUUUUCAUCUAAAUCUGAUUUGCUUCUCUUUAUUUGUUUUACCUUGUUGAACAUCUAUUUUCAAAGGGUCUUUUUUUUUUUCUCCUAUAAAUUUCUUCCCAAAUUUUAUGACUUUGAUUUAAUCUCAGUCACGUAGAUAAUCAAGGGAAAUAAGGCACUCUAAAUAAUGUGAGCAAUGACCAUCUACUACUGCUUUCCACAUUUUCACUCUAAUGCAUAUUGAUUUGGACUUUACAUGGCAGUUGUAAAUGAAAAGACAGGUUAAAAGACAAUCAUUAGAGACUUAGACUCUUGGCCAUGUUAGUAUUGGGGAGGGGGAGUGCUGUAUUAUGCAUUAAUGUUCUACAUUGACCAUCGUUUCUUUUACUUUCCCAGAUUCACUCCAAUUUUACAUUUAGGGCUAGUGCCAAUUUUCUUGAGAAUAACAUUCGUGUGAAGCCAGAUCUUGAUGCUCUUGGUGCUCUUGGCGAUGCAGGUUGGUACUGUCUUAGGGCAAUACUGUGGGCAGCCAACUAUGAACUACCAAAAACUGUAAUCGCCUCGCGCAACCCUGAGCGUAAUCAAGUUGGGGUGAUAUUGGCUUGUGGGGCUACUUUGUACUGGGAAGAUGGAAAAGCAGCAACCUUCUAUUGCUCCUUCUUGUCCAACACGUCAACGGAUAUAACUGCUCUAGGGACAAAAGGAACGCUACAUGUUCAUGACUUCGUUCUCCCUUAUGAAGAAAAGGAAACAUCAUUUUAUGCAGCUACAGAAUCAGGUGUUGAUGAAGCUGUUACAAAGUGGGUUCCACAGCCAAGCAAGCGUAUAAUAGAAACUGACAUACCUCAGGAGGCUCUUAUGGUAAAUGAGCUUUCCCGUUUAGUGGCAGAUAUCAAAUUCAAGAAAGCAAAACCCGAGCAGAAGUGGCCAACAAUUAGUAGGAAAACUCAACUCGUAGUGGAUGCUGUGAAGACUUCAAUUGAU